rnacentral:pre_miRNA from 1 species
AAUAGAUGACGCUGUUGACUUUUUCUCACAUGUUUGACCAUUCGUCUUAUUCAAAAAAUUUACGCAAUUAUAAUUUAUUUUGUUAUGAGUUGUUUUAUCACUCAUAAUACUUUAAGUGUGAUUUAUAUCUUAUAUAUUUGCGUAUUUUUUUUUUAAUAAGACAAAUGGUCAAACAUGUGAGAAAAAGUCAACGGCGUCAUCUAUU